rnacentral:lncRNA from 1 species
UAUUUGUCAAAUUGAUCCACUGCAUAAAGAAAAAUAGAUGAACAGAAAAAUCUGUGUCUGCAUGGUACAUGCUCUUGGUGUGUAAUUUAAAUGGCAAUACUUUAAAUUAAUUGGUUAUAUAUAAUGUCAGUUAUUUUCUUUCAGAAUAUGAUCUUUUUUGUAGUAACUUAGCAAUAGGACUUAAUACUACUGCAGAUAAAUAGGACUGCUUUUUAAAAUUAUUUUUCUAUACAAAGUAGGUACAUGGGCUAUACAAAGUUAAAUAUACAUAUUUACAGUCCCACUUCUUAAGCAUGUGAUUUUUUUCUCUUACUGAUCCCAGAGAGACUGCAAAAGAUAAGUAGUGUGGGGCUUGCUUUUACCCAGAAGCAUGGCUAAUCUAUUAAAAUGUGUUGCAGGGCAUGCCGCCAGUUAGUUACACUUGCGAUUAAUAAACCUGUAUAAAUAUCUCAGCAUAAAAAUAGGUAUUUUGUAUUACUAAAUGUAUGAAGACAAAGGAGCAGUUGGAACCCUUU